AGCAGAGAUGUGAAAAAUACUUUAUAAAAAGUAUUUAAAUACAAAAUACAAAUACUUCCUUGAUAAUACAAUUUCAAAUGCAAAAUACAAAAUAGUUUUUGAAUUUGUAUUUAAAUACAAAAUACGAAAUAGGUAUUUUCAAAAUACUUUUUAAAAAUACAAAUACCUUGCGAUAAAAGGUACUCUGAGUAGUGAAUACCUAGUCUAAAUUAAAAAGUAUUACUCGGAAUUUCUGAGUUGAAAAGACUCUCUUUAUUCUUUGAAAUCAAUCCUCAAUCUAAAGUGCAAAUUUCUAGUUGUUUGCUCAUAUUAACCGGUAGGAUGUAUGGAUGAUGGUUUUUAACGGCCAACUUAUAAAGCAUUUAUUCGUAAUGUUUUACAGCUAGUAUAAUGCCUCUCGUUAGUGUGAUGAAAACGUCUCGUUUGUGUUUCACCAGGGCAGAAAAAUUUGUUCUCCUCUCGUGCCUUGAAAGCGUCGCAACACUCAAGAUUCCACUUUUUUAACCACUCGCUACGCUUGUGGUCAUGUGCGACGUUACUAAACAGAUUCAACAGUUCCACGUUAAAAGAAUGAGAGAGUUGCCAGGAUUGUAACAUAAGAAGAGAUUGUAACUCCUACCUACAUUACCUACCUACUAUAAAGUAUUUUG